rnacentral:rRNA from 1 species
AUUGAACGCUGGCGGCAUGCCUUACACAUGCAAGUCGAACGGCAGCACGGGAGCAAUCCUGGUGGCGAGUGGCGAACGGGUGAGUAAUAUAUCGGAACGUGCCCAGUCGUGGGGGAUAACGUAGCGAAAGCUACGCUAAUACCGCAUACGAUCUAUGGAUGAAAGCGGGGGAUCGCAAGACCUCGCGCGAUUGGAGCGGCCGAUAUCAGAUUAGGUAGUUGGUGAGGUAAAGGCUCACCAAGCCGACGAUCUGUAGCUGGUCUGAGAGGACGACCAGCCACACUGGGACUGAGACACGGUCCAGACUCCUACGGGAGGCAGCAGUGGGGAAUUUUGGACAAUGGACGCAAGUCUGAUCCAGCCAUUCCGCGUGCAGGAUGAAGGCCCUCGGGUUGUAAACUGCUUUUGUACGGAACGAAAAGGUUUGUCUUAAUACGAUGAGCUCAUGACGGUACCGUAAGAAUAAGCACCGGCUAACUACGUG